AGCAGAAUGCACCCUGCAAAAUGUGUGGCUGUCCUUUAUGGAUUCCUGAGAAUUUGACCUAAGACUCAUCACUCAAGCAAGCCCGAGCCAGGGUAGAAGGAUGCCAGGCUGAGAUGAAGAGUCUGCCCUUUCUGCCUAGUAGCAUUGAAGGAGAGGAAGAGGAGGAGAAAGGACGAAGACAAAGAGAAGGAGAGGAAGAAGGAAGAGGAGAGGGAGCAGGUGAUGGUGAUGCAGGAAGAAGAACUUGCUACUUGGUGCCCAAUUACAAUGUUGAGAAAGAAGAAAAUUGAGCUCUCCUGAAGUUCCACUAUGUGCCAGGCAUCAUGCCUAAACCUAUCAUGUGGUUCAUCUGUGUGCACACACACGUCCAUCUUGAUGCUAGAGUCAGGAAGCAGCUUUUGAUUUUUAAAAAAUGCUUGAACUCAUUUCUCUUGGAGAUGAAUGUCUACCUUUUCUAUCAUCUAUAGAUAAGCUAGACAUUUUGAGGGUAUCUUUGUCUUUUGUUUUUUCUCAAAGUGGAGGCCCUAAUUAAA